UCCGGGGCUACACACGUGUUACAAUGGGGGGUACAGAGGGCCGCUACCACGCGAGUGGAUGCCAAUCCCCAAAACCUCUCUCAGUUCGGACUGGAGUCUGCAACCCGACUCCACGAAGCUGGAUUCGCUAGUAAUCGCGCAUCAGCCACGGCGCGGUGAAUACGUUCCCGGGCCUUGUACACACCGCCCGUCAAGCCAUGGGAGCCGGGGGUACCUGAAGUGCGUAACCGCGAGGAGCGCCCUAGGGUAAAACUGGUGACUGGGGCUAAGUCGUAACAAGGUAGCCGUACCGGAAGGUGCGGCUGGAACACC
rnacentral:rRNA from 2 species